rnacentral:rRNA from 1 species
UACGUAGGGUGCGAGCGUUGUCCGGAAUUAUUGGGCGUAAAGAGCUUGUAGGUGGUUUGUCGCGUCUGCUGUGAAAAUCCGAGGCUCAACCUCGGACUUGCAGUGGGUACGGGCAGACUAGAGUGUGGUAGGGGAGACUGGAAUUCCUGGUGGUAGCGGUGGAAUGCGCAGAUAUCAGGAGGAACACCGAUGGCGAAGGCAGGUCUCUGGGCCAUUACUGACAC